UGUGUGUGUGCGUGACAGGAGAGUGCAUGUGGUGUGUGUGAGAUAUGUGUGAGGUGUAUAUGAAGACUGUGUGUGUGCGUGACAGGAGAGUGCAUGUGGUGUGUGUGAGAUAUGUAUGAGGUGUGUAUGAAGAGUGUGUGUGUGCGUGACGGGAGAGUGCAUGUGGUGUGUGUGAGAUAUGUGUGAGGUGUGUGUGAAGACUGUGUGUGUGAGUGACAAGGGAGUGCAUGUGGUGUGUGUGAGAUAUGUAGGAGGUGUGUGUGAAGACUGUGUGUGUGCAUGACAGGAGAGUGCAUGUGGUGUGUGUGAGAUAUGUGUGAGGUGUGUAUGAAGAUUGUGUGUGUGCGUGACAGGAGAGUGCAUAUGGUGUGUGUGAGAUAUGUGUGAGGUGUGUGUGAAGACUGUGUGUGUGAGUGACAGGAGAGUGCAUGUGGUGUGUGUGAGAUAUGUGUGAGGUGUGUAUGAAGACUGUGUGUGUGAGUGACAGGAGAGUGCAUGUGGUGUGUGUGAGAUAUGUGUGAUGUGUGUAUGAAGUGUGUGUGUGUGCGUGAAAGGAUAAUGAACAGACAUGUGAAUGAUUGUGGAAGUUUGAGAAAGAAAACUGCAAUAAAAAAGGCAGAGUGCACAAAAGAAUGCAGAGUGUGUGCAGCCUCAAGCUGAGAGAGAGAGAGAGAGAGAGACAGAGAGA
ensembl:lncRNA